CAUUUAGACUACUACAUCAUGAUAGUCAGCAAAUCAGAGUUCUGUGGGACCAAAGUGAGUAUCUGUGGAUUUGAGUUCCAGAGUUUAGGACCCGUUACAGAAACAUCUGAUAUUAAGACCCUUCUCCUAUUGACCAAGGACUUGUUAGCUCAGAGAACAUUUUCUGAUUGCAUUUGUGGAAGUGGCACAUGGAGAAAGAAUUGUUGUUACUGUCAGUAAACAUCAGGUAUUUCCUUUGAGCUUGAGUUUAUUAACUGCUCCUAGCAGUCAGUUGCACUUUUUCACUGAGCAAGUUCCCACCUUUUAAAGUUAGAAGAAACCAAAUGCUGUAUGACUAAUUUAGUACAACAAAGUACAAUAUGCAGCUUGCAGCACAAAGACCUUAGUACAUCUUUUGUUGUUUCCAUAGUCUAUGUCACUUUAAAAUGUUUAAUAAUUUACCGCAAAAGGCCAUUGUGGAAUAUGAGACCUUUGCAGAAUAAAACAGAGCUUAAACCAGCAAUUGAAAGAAAACAUUCACUUCAGUUCCUUUCAAAUCCUGGUCAAAUUCCAACUCAGAUUAGUACAUUUUCCUUACCUAUAUAUUUUCCUUACCUUUAAUUUCAGUAGUGUACAUAAUUAUUUACAUUCCUUCCAUAAAAACACUACUGAAUUGGGUUGAUGGCACAAAAUAACCGUAACCUUCAAGUCCAGAGGUGCCUAUGGUGAUUCUGUUUAUACAAGUUCAAAUUUUCAAAGGAACAUUAGGCCAGCCUCCAACAUACAAUUCUGUGAGCACUAUGAUUUGCACACACAAGUUUGUGCACUCUGUUUUGCACAUGCAAAUGGUUGAAUUUCCUCCUCAUCUUUGUGGAAAAGUUCUGUAGAAUAUAAUAGGAAUGAAACCAAUAUACAAAUUAUUUUAUGAACCUAUAGAAUUUAACACAGAUUUGUUAAACAUCCUAUAAAAUCCUAUAGAGGAGGAAUACAUUCUGCACCUUAAUUAACCUAUAGUUCUAUGGUUUAAAAAUAUAGAGAAAAGUUAUCAUGUUCAUAUUAAACUGCACAUGAUUUUCCAGUAAGGAACAUUGUUGAUAGUGCAUAAUCUGUUAUCUGCAUAAAUAAAUUAUUUUAAUGGAAAAUUGCAUGUGCAAUAUUAGAGACCCCGUUUUGAAACUCUGGCUGACUUCAGGAAAGCUCUUUGAAUUGUUCUGGAUGUAUGGGUUAUGAACAGUAUGUCCAGAUAUUCUGCAUUCAUCUGUGGGUCUAGUCAGGUGGCCCUCUUUUACUGAACAGACUGGAGACGUGAGAUAAGCAACCUGCAAACUGAGAGCAUUGUCUUGUCAAAAGACACCCAUUACUUAUUUGUAUACAAGAGUGUCUUCAGGUCAGAUUUACUAUCACUCAGACUCAAGAUCACUUCUUCACAUUAUUUUGUAAGUUGAUUCCCUAAACAUUUUUUUCCUCUUAUGUUCAGUAGCUCAGUAUAAAUGCAAUCACAAUGGGAUUAAUAAGAAUCAGGUGACAGUUUCUUCUAACUAUGGCUAGUCCCAUUUAAAGGGCUACUUUGUCAUUAUCUUGCUGAGUACUGUUGCUGUCUUUGAGCAGUCCACUUUCAAACAAGAAAAGAGUUGGAAAUCAAAAUCAAUCUAAGCUUUAAACAUUUGAUUUGGGAAUAAUUUUAGAUCGAAAAUGGUUCUAAACCAGGAACAUAGGGAAUAUUAUAACACAGUGUUCUCUAUAUUGUAUUUUUUUUCCACCAGUAUUUUAAUGAGUAGGGAGGGAGUUAAAAGUUUAAAGGUAUUUUUCUGUGUAUUUUUGUAUUUAUUUGAAUUGCAGUUAUACCUAGAGGCCUCGGUCAGGAUCAGAAACCCAGUGAGGUUGGUACUGACAACCACGUGAGGAAAAGAUGGAGCCUGCCCCAGAGAGCUUAUAAUCAAGUAUAAAAUGGAAAACAAGAGAAUACAGUCAGACAGAUGUGAGAAGCACAAGAAAAUCCAGCUGCUAUUAAAGGAGAGGAAGUGAGGAGUAGAGCCCUGCAGUGGGGCUAGGAUCCUGUGGGUCUUGCAGGACCCACUGCCAUAAUAAUGGGAGCAGGUCCCACAGGAGAAGCAUUGAUAUUCCUGUUUCCUUCAUGAGGAGACACUCUCUGCUGGGCUGUUUCAGACCAUCUGUCCAGUUCCCAAGAGCUUGAAUCAUAGACAGCUGGUCAUCAUGAGGCUCUGCAUGGCCAGUGCCAGUGAAGUCCCUGAUACACACUGGGGUGGUAGGGCACUCUGCCAUCAACAGUCCCCAUGGUCUAUUCUAUGCACUCUGAGCUCUGACAGAAAGUGAAUGCAAGAUGCUUUAUCCAUACACUUACCGUCUCUGUGGUCUCAGCUUGUAUGUUGGGAAUUUCAAACUCCCCAUUAGGAGUGAGCAACUGGAAUCAGGAACCUCUUGGGGGAAUGGGAAGCUUAACAAGUCUGUGACGUUGUGUAAAUGAUGUUAUAAUAACCAAAUCCUGGUCCCUGUCUUAAUCCCGUGUGCAAUCGGGGUCAAUGCAGGAGACCCCCACAUGUUCUCACAGGGAUGAAUCCUAUAACAGUGGAUCUGUACAGUUGCAGAUCUACUGGCCAAAUACUUCCCUCCUUCUGCAGUGCUACAGGGAGAAACACCACAUGAUGCUGCAUCAUGGUGUGCAGAUAGCACAAGUUCCCCUGUGAUCCUCUGCAUAGCUAGUCAUAUGCCCCAUCUUCUGCAGCAGACCUGAAGUGAUUGUCCUGUAUUUAGGGCCUUUGGUGUGUGCAGAGCAGGGUGCAGAAUUUGAACCCAUGAAUGGAUGUCUUUUUCUAAAGCCAUAGAGUAAUUCCCCAGGCUUUCAAGGAGGUCUUCUUUGGAAGUAGAUAUCACAUACAGCCAGAUUCUGCCAUUCUUACUCACAGUGGAGUAGUACCUUACAUUGUGAUUAGUCCCAUUGAAAUCCAUGAGACUCCUAGUAGAUUAAAGUAGCAGUCAAGGAUGGCAGAAAUCUCACCUAGAAUAAUUAGCAAUCUCCUCUUUACCUGUUCAACAUGAUGAAUUACUGUGCUUUGUAGCCUUGUUAAUUUUAUCAUGUCUAACGGAGGAUGAGUAACUUGGCACCUGAGGUUAUAAAGUGUUGACUGCUUUCAAUGUCCAUUGAUAUCUUUAUUAGAUAGAAAUUAAUACUCUUAACUGUUUUUUAAAUACAAGAGUGGUUGAAGAAACAUCUUAUUUAUAUAAAUCACAAUAUGAAAGCCUUUUAGAAAAUGCAAUCAGUUGAAACAUUUAAUCUCUGUUCACUAGUCCUUGUGUUGAGAUUUACAUGGGAAUCCCUUUGUAUCAGCUCCUCAGGAAUAUUUUAAUUUAUCAGUACAGUUACUAUGUUCUCAAUGGCAGGGAAAUUAUUGGGAGGAGAGGAAGGGGAGGGAAGUGUGUGAUACUAUGCUGUUAAAAAUGUACUACAUCACAUGAAUACUUUUGUAAUUCCUUUCUGAUUCACAUUAUCCUAUUGGAAUUACUUUGAUUAUUUUAUUGCACCUCUGCUGCUACCCUAGAGGUGAGGCUUAGAUCCCAGCAGAUGUUGCUAUUUUACAGCACCCAAAAAUGCACUAGGCAUGAAAAGAGUUUACAUGAUCCCAUGAGAAAGAAUUUACAGUCUGAUUAUAGACAUGAUACAAUGACCGAAAGUUUUUUUUUUAAAAGGGGAAAAGUAAAAUGAUGACAAGAUUUAUACUCUAGUAAUAAGAUCAUGUAAUUCCUCAGCUUUUAGUAUGUAUACAUCUUAAAGAUUCUGUGAAAUGUAUAACU